CCUACGGGUGGCAGCAGUGGGGAAUAUUGGUCAAUGGGCGAGAGCCUGAACCAGCAAAGUAGCGUGAAGGAUGACUGCCCUAGGGGUGGUAACCUUCUUUUAUAGAGGAAUAAAGCGAGGCACGUUUGCCUUUUUACAUGUACUUUAUGAAUAAGGAUCAGCUCACUCCGUGCCAGCAGCCGCGGUAAUACGAAGUAUCCGAGCGUUAUCCGGAUUUCUUGGGUUGAAAGGGAGCGUAGAUGGGGUGUUAAGUCAGUUGUGAAGGUUGGCGGAUCAACCGUAAAAUUGAAAUUGAUACUGUUAGUAUGGAGUCAAGUGGAGGCAGGCGGAAUUAGUGGGUGAGCGGUGAAAUGCGUAGAUAGUAGGAGGAACACCGAUGGCGAAGGCAGCCUACUAA
rnacentral:rRNA from 1 species